GACGAACGCUGGCGGCGUGCUUAACACAUGCAAGUCGAACGGAAAGGCCCUGCUUUUGUGGGGUGCUCGAGUGGCGAACGGGUGAGUAACACGUGAGUAACCUGCCCUUGACUGUGGGAUAACUUCAGGAAACUGGGGCUAAUACCGGAUAGGAGCUCCUGCUGCAUGGUGGGGGUUGGAAAGUUUCGGCGGAUGGGGAUGGACUCGCGGCUUAUCAGCUUGUUGGGGGGGUAGUGGCUUACCAAGGCUUUGACGGGUCGCCGGCCCGAGAGGGUGGCCGGCCCCCUUGGGCCUGCGGUAGGGCCCAGUCGCGUACGGGAGACAGCAGGGGGGAAUAUUGCCCAAUGGGCGGAAGCCUGAUGCAGCAGCGCCGCGUGCGGGAUGACGGCCUUCGGGUUGUAAACCGCUUUCGCCUGUGACGAAGCGUGAGUGACGGUAAUGGGUAAAGAAGCACCGGCUAACUACGUG
rnacentral:rRNA from 1 species